GAGAAUCUUGAUGAUGCUGCA
rnacentral:siRNA from 1 species